GGCUGUGAUUAUAAUUUCAGGUCAGCCUGCCCAGUGAGGAGUUUAACGGCCGCGGUAUAUUGACCGUGCAAAGGUAGCAUAAUCAUUAGUUUUUUAAUUGGAAGCUAGAAUGAAAGGUUGUAUGAGAAAAUUUCUGUCUCUAAAAAAUUUUUUUAGAAUUUUAUUUUUAAGUGAAAAAGCUUAAAUUUUAAUAGAAGACGAGAAGACCCUAUAGAGUUUUAUAUUUACAGGAGUGUAUUUAUUUUGGUUUAAAAAUUAAUAAUUUGUGUAAAUAUUUAGUUGGGGUGAUUGAAAAAUUAAAAUAACUUUUUUUUAUUUUAUACAUUGAUUUAUGAAUUUAUGAUCCUUAAAUAAAGAUUAUAAGAUUAAAUUACCUUAGGGAUAACAGCGUAAUUUUUUUUAGAGUUCUUAUCGAAAAAAGGGAUUGCGACCUCGAUGUUGGAUUAAAAUAAAUUGUUGGUGUAGAAGCUAAUAAAUUAGGUCUGUUCGACCUUUAAAAUUUUACAUGAUCUGAGUUUAAACCGGUGUGAGCCAGGU
rnacentral:rRNA from 1 species